GGCUUUUGUUUCCACCCUAAUUACCUGAUUGAGUUCACCUGGUCACUCCUUAUUUAAAGACUGCCCUCCCUCCCAGUCAGUGUUUUCUACACCUUCACAUGGGGCGGCAGCUGAUCCUCCAACCCAUGUGUGUCUGUCCUGUUCUGUUAUGUUAUCCAUUAUCAUUUGCCUCACCACGUUUGUUGAAUAAAUCUUCAUUGAAUGGACUGAA